GGCCGUGUGGCGCAACGGUAGCGCGUUACUUUCCGGUAUAAUGCAGCUUCAAAUCUUCAGUUGGUAAAGGCUCUGGGUUCGAGUCCCAGCAUGGUCG